rnacentral:tRNA from 1 species
AGCACAGUCAGCUAAUUAAGCUCUCGGGCCCAUACCCCGAAAAUGUUGGAUAGACCAACCUCUGCUA